GAGUUUUCACCCUCAUUUGAAGGUUCUCUCUAUUUUAAAACUAAUUGUUAUGGAUUCCUGUGGUUUAGAUGAUUAAUUGCUAUUUGAAUUUGUUAACAUGAACCUUUGAUGAAUUUCACUAGAUUUUGGAGGUUCCAAUUUUCAAAACCGUGAUGAUUUGCAUAUCUAGAAAAUAAGUUUUUGAGUUGCGGGAGAUAUUUUGGCAAGCUACCUGCAGAGCUUUCUGCUAAUUUUGGAUUUUUGUUUGUUUGAGUAUUUGAGUGGAAUUAGGGUUUCGUUUCUGUCCUUGCCUAGGGUGGUAGAAGAAGCAGCUGACAUGUCUCUGUUUCUGGGGAAGAGAAGGUGGUUGAGUUCUGUGAGGUGGCAUGUCUCUAUUAAAAACUAUGAUUUUAUUUUACAUUUGUAUUUCGUUUUUGUUUUUGAGAAUUUAUAUACCUUCACUGUUUUCUCUCACACACUCCCACUCACCUAACACUCACAUAAUCUCACACUAUUCUCGUUUCACCUUUCAACCUCCCCUCACUCCCAAUGCAUGUGCUCUUAAUGCUAUCUGUUUACAUCUGUUUUGAAUGGGCAUACCCUUGCUAUCUGUUUUGUAGGGAUUAGUUAGAGUUCUUACUUGUGCUGCUCUAUCACUGCACCAUUUGGUACCAAUUUCAAAAACAAAGUGAGACCCACUGAUUUGUUUGAUUUAGAAUUAUAAAUUCGAAAAACACCAUGCCACCCAUUUUAAUGCAUGGGUACCAUCUGUACAGUCCUCUUUAUAUUUGCAUCGCAUUUUUAAAAGUGAAUGUUUUGAUAAAAUAAAAAAUAAAACAUAAGUAAAAAUAUAAAAUCUAAAAAUAUUUUCAAAAUUAAAAAAUCAACCAAAAAAUACUUUUUCUGAUUUAAAAAUAUCAAGAGAUUAUUUUGACACCUCCCUUUUUUUCUUCUUCAAUCUUAGCCUCUUAAUUGAAUUGCUGAUGCUUUUUGUUACUGGUUUCAGUAACAUUUACCAUUUUGAAAUUUGUGUAAUUUAGUACUGUGUAAUAUGGGACAAAACAGGAAAAAUAAGGAAACUAAUCCUGCUGAAGGAUCUAGUAAACCACAGCAGAAAAACAAGAAUACUCCACGAUCGGCUAAAUCUAAAAUUGAUAAGAAAAUCAAGGAUGCUAAGUUAAAAGCCAUGAUAAAUAAAGGUUUUCAACAGAUUGGGAAAAAGAGAAGGCUUAGAAAGAACAAAAAAGUAAUGGGCAAUAGUGAUGAACUGCCAAAAGACAAGAGUGAAGAGAAUGAAAGGAAUAACGAGAAGGCAGGUCAACAUAGGAGCAUCAUUAAUGAAAGAAGUCCUAUUGAGAAGAGCCAUCGGGCUGAAAAUAAUAAGAUCAUUAAGGUGGAUAAGAGUGAACAGAAGCAGAAGAAUACAGGGUCUGACCAAGGUGCUGGGAGUAGAAUAAACAAAAAUAAUCAUAGUGGUGCAGACAAUACCAAUUCCAGUGAAAAACAGAGACAAAAACUUGCUGGUUUCAUCUUUAUGUGUAGUGGGAAGACAAAACCUGACUGUUUCCACUAUCGCGUCAUGGGUGUUUCAGCUAUUAAGAAAGACAUUGUUCUAAGUAUCAAGCCUGGAACUAAGCUUUUUCUUUAUGAUUUUGAUCUGAGGCUGUUGUAUGGGAUUUAAAAAGCUUCAUCUUCUGGUGGUAUGAAACUCGAACCCCGAGCUUUUGGUGGUAGCUUUCCUGCUCAGGUUACUUGCUCUCAUCUACUUUUCCUAUCUAAUUUGUCCCAAUACUGUCUUUGUUUAUUAUGAGUCAUGUGCUGAUGGUGCAACCUUCAGGUGCGGUUCAAUGUUGUUUCUGAUUGUUUCCCACUACCAGAAAGCAUUUUCAAGAAGGCGAUCAAGGAAAAUUACAAUGAUAAACACAAGUUUAAAACAGAACUUACUCCUCGACAAGUGAGAACCAAAUAUGCCUCUGGUGGGCUAGUUUCAGUUUCUUUUAUUCUUCACCGUUGAUAUAUUCAAAUGUCACGUUUCAGGUUAGGAAGCUCACUGAACUUUUCCGACCAGUCGAUGUUCGUUCAGGCUUGCAGCCUGUUUGCUCACCUCCAAAAGCAACAUUUCGUGAUAGGAAGACUCUUGAUGAUGUUAGGGGAUUAUGGUCCCAUUUGCACAGGGAAGGUGAUCCCCUAAUUGAACGGCAAGAGGAAAUUCCUCGUGAUUUAUUUCUUACUGAGAAGAGUUACCGAGCUUAUGGUCUCCAAGGAGACCGAAGGAAUGUGAUACCAUCCUCCCAAGUUAAUCCUACACGGGAUCCUUAUGAGAGGGAUUAUGAAAGAGAACACCGUCAUCAUGUGGACCCUCUGUACAGUACAAUUGCCCCUUCCCACAGAGAAAGUCUUCAUGUAAAUAAUCGUCAUUUGAAUGAGAGUGAGCAUCAGACCAAUUUGCAUGGUGGAAUUUCUGAACAUGCAGAUGAUCCUUAUGACCCGUAUCACUAUGGUGCUUCACCAAGGGAUCCUUGUUUUUCACCUAGAGAGGAAAUCUCUUCAGGCUCUUAUUUGGCAGGGGGAAGAACCUUGAUUCAAAGUGAGAGUUUGCAAAGGAGAGAGGCUGUUCAAGAUAGGCUUCACUCAACAUAUUCUGCUGCUGAUGCUUUGUCUGAAUACAAUCGGAUGCAGCACUAUCAGGACAGUUUGGAAGCUUCUGCUGUGCCAGUUUCAUCCCGUUACUCUUUUGCUGGUCCUUCAUAUUCACUUCGCUAAAUCAAACAAGCACUUCUGAAAUCUUCCUUUAUAAUCUGUUACUUAAGGCUAAAAUCUAUUAUGGUGACUAAAACUCUGAAUUGGAAAGUGUCAUUUAUUCACUGUGUUUGAGAUUUGAUGUGCAAAGUGACAUUAAUAGUUAAUGACAAUUUCCCUUGCAGACACCAGUUGCUUUGUAACUUUUCACAAUUUGUCUUAUGGCUUAUUGGCAUGUGCUGCUUCGGCAGAUAGGAAGAUAAACAAGCA
rnacentral:lncRNA from 1 species